AAAAAAGGAGAACACAUGCCCUCCCUAAGACU
rnacentral:tRNA from 1 species